GUUCUUGUAGUUGAAAACAAUAAUGGUCUUUCGAACCGUAGGUUUCAGUUAAAACCUGAACAAGAAUU
rnacentral:tRNA from 1 species